rnacentral:lncRNA from 1 species
GGAAUGGAAUCUGCGGGCCGCAGGUUUGAAAGAAGAAACAUUUAAACAAAUGAACAUCCUUAUAUCUGUUGCAUAAAACCGAAAAAAUACGACGUUUAAAACUGUCAAACUGUAUAAACCUGACGUUUUUGAAAACUGUAACCAGCCACGUUAUACUUCCCAACGGAGUUAAUUUUCAAAAGCAUGUCUCACAAACAAAUUUCUUUCUUUAACGUUAAAAUGUUGAAAAAUCCAGGCAAUGACGGGUUUACUAUUGAAUUGGAAAUAAAAUCCGAAAUACGACAAUUCGAGAAUUACGACAAUUCGUAAAUUAUAAAUCGCUUUUUUACGCAAAACCAAAACGGAUUGUGGGACGUAGCGACUGUAACUACGGAGUGUCGGAAGUGUGAGUUAUAUACUGUAUGCAUGCAUGCCCAUCAUGCUUUUCGCGUUCAGAGGUUGAGGUUUUGACUUUGAAAGGAUCAAUGUUGAUUGAAUCAGCUGUAUAAUCGUUGAACAAGGUACUUAGUAUACAUUAUUAUUUCCUUUUAGAUUUCCUUUGAACUUGUGUUUCUCGACAGUAGACUACUGGACCUAGCUGACCAACUUAGAAAAGAUGUUUAUGAUUGGCGCGUACAAUUCGCCGUGGACGCUCUCUUUGGGUUGUUGGGUUAGUUCUGUUGGAAAUACUUAUUUUAAAUUCCAUUUAACACUUAGAAGGGAUCUUUAGCAUGUAUAGGACGCCGACGACGCAAAUUCUUUUUCCAUAGACAGUCGGACUCGCGCGUUAUCGACCCUGCGUAAACCACUGGUAGUCUGGUAUACCAUAUAUUCAUCACUCUACGUUGUUCUUCCUCGACCACGUGUAGAAAGAUGAACGAUAUGCUUCGCGAUGCCAUAG